GGACUGGCCGGCCGGUGAUGUCCGACCGACCCGCUGCGCGUCGGUGAGUAGGCAGGUGGGGACGAUGAGGUCUUCUUCCAGGACCACCCCGCGCGACUGGAAAGGAGGAGGGGAGGUGAAGAGUAAUAGGGCCGGCCUCCAUUUUCGGCGCCACUGCACGAGAAGAUGCGUCCGCUGCACCUCUACUUUGACCAAGAAGGGCGGUGGUACUGCAGCUAAGGUGGUUGGUUGUGUGUCGAGUGUUUUGCCAUCCGGUGCCAAGGCCCUUCAUGGAAGGGCUUGCAGCUCUGAGGCUGACUUACAAGAAUGUUCCUACUUGGUGCAGAGAGUUGUGUAGGGUGUGUGAGUCUGUGAGAGCAAACAAGUCACAUUCCACAAGACGGAGAACCUGCAGUGCUACGAAGUCUCUGCCAAGAGAAACUACAACUUUGAGAAGCCCUUCCCUUACCUUGCAAGGAAGUUUGCCGGAUAAUUUUCUUCGCUCGUCAAUGGCUCCAAUAACGUCCAGAGGGAGCUUGGCUUGUGAGUCCGUUCUGCCCUCCGGAGCAAGUAGGGGUCAUCUUUAUUGCAACCCACCUGGGAGAAGUAGGCAUUGUCUCUCUCAUGAUGUGGUGCGAAUUGUCGGGCGAGACAAUGGUACAAAGGUUAACGUUAUGUUGGGUGGGAUUCAUGUAAACAUGUGUCAGCUAUUGCUCGGAUUGUUCCUCGAUGUGCUCCGCGGAGAAACCCAGGACUACCGGUGCUUCACGUGUAUAAAGGGUUCAAAAUCUCGUCUAAUACCUCAGGGAUUUGAUUGGAGCGCAAGGUCGGCUGAUAGAGGUAUUCAGAGAGUGACCACCUGUAAGAGACGAAAGCGUCAAAAUCGAUGAGAAGAUGGAAUUGGUGAGCUGCAAUAUGCCGGAAGGCAGUCCUUUCUCGUGCUUUUGAUGACAGAUGCUCGAAAGUGUUCUAUGCCGCAAGGCAUUCUCCUCUGAAAAUUGAGGAUCUAGUAGUCUGAACAGUAUGGAGGUUGAAUCUACACAUUUGGAAUGCAAGCUUGAGCCUCUGGUUCAUCUGCCUUGAAGUCAAAGCCGGUCGCCUGGAGAUGCAGCUCCAACCUGAUGCCGAACACCACUCCAGGGUAUCUGCAAUUUUGGUGAGGACAACUCCAGCCUCGGCGCCAAGUGCGGCUUGUUCUGCCUCGUCCUCACCAGCAAGACGAUGAUUCGUAGGAAUGUGAAGGUCAGGCGAGGCGAUAAGCCUUGUUUGACUGGUGGUAGCCGGACACGGCGUUGGAGUGGUACAUGGAGCUGCCAGCAGGUCGUCGUGGAGAUCAUGUAGGAGGGAGAGAGCUGGAGCAUACUGCUCUGUUGCAACAGCAGCGGCAAGGGGAAAACUAGAGCUGGUAGCUGGCCAGGAGGGAGGAGACCUAGAUCCGACAUGGUUUUCUUACAUGAGUCGAUGUGCUUGAUAACCUCGGGACGACAUGGUGAUUUUUGUGAUCUGUGUUUGUUAGGCCCUCUAGCGGACUGGCUAUGCGGUCCGUUGAUGGCGGUGCUGCUGCUCCUGGCCUUGUGGAGGCCUCCCGGCUGCACAUGUGGCUGUAGGCUUCGGUGGCCCUGGGUUUGACCUCCUCGUCGUGGCAGCCGUGUGUCUCAGCCUUGGUUACAAGAUCUCUCUGGAGUCCGGUGGCGACCCAAGUUUGAAUUAUGGUGUUGAUAUUCACCUGAUCACAUGUCGUGCAGGUAGGUGAAUAAUGGGUGAGGCGCCAAGCCUUGUUUGACUUGUGGUAGUAGGAGGGGGAGAGGUGGACGCCAUGCUGCCCUGGUGCAACAACAACGGCAAGGGGAGAACUGGAGUUGGUAGCCAGCCUGGAGGGAGGAGACUUGGAUCCGACAUGGUUUUCUUAGAUUAGUUGAUGUGCCUCUUGUGAUCUGGGCAGUUUAGAUAUAUAUUGGCAAGCAAGUGUAGUAGUAGCACUUGAGGUGAUGUGCAAGUAUGUCUAGUUGCUAGUUUGUGUGUUCUUCUCGAAUGGCAGCUAAGCUUUGCUAUAUCAAUAUGUAUUAGUUAGUGUGAACACAUACAUCCAUCGGUCAGAGGAUCUUAUGAAUCUUGCUACUGUCCGAUUUUUGUUUUUGUUCCAACCUGAAGCUGAAAGAGUA